ACCACAGCUGUUGGAGGUGGACACUUCAUGGCCCCGCGGCGGGGCACAUGAGAAGGAGGCCUUGUCCCCACAGACUCACCCCAUCACACUGGCUGAAGUAUUUUGGCAUGGAAACCGACCAACUACCCCAUUAACCCAAUACAGCCUUUGAAUGAAACCCUACAGGGCAGGAUGCCUAGAGCAGGUUAUAUCAGACAGAGAAGAGCUGCCAUGUCAAGACAUUGGGACACCUUGUGCCUUUAAGGACACAGCCCCGGGAAGCGUGUGCUGAGAUGUACUGUUCUGGGAGAGGGGAAAUAAAAAGUCCCUCUGCCCCCACUCUAUCUUUGCAAAGACAGCAGCCCGAGGUCGCAGCAGGUGGAACAGACCAGAUUGAGAUGCUUCCGCACCAGAUCUGGGGACCGGCUCCUUAUCAACCAGUUGUCAAGGAGCCUGACCUGGAAGCCCCCAGGACCUGGACUGUGGCAGAGGAGGCGGGAGUGGAGGAUGGAAGGCUUCCUAGACUGCUGAGGGGUAUACCAGCUCAAGGAGCAGAGGGUGGCUUGGGAGUCCUUAAGCCCAUGGAGCCUUGAGUCAGUUAGCUUGGAAAAGAGCCCUGUACCCUCCAAUGGGAGGUCCUGGAUUGUGGCCUCCAUUUCAGGGGACAGCCCAGAAGCCUGCAACCACAAGCUAUGCCUCAUGGUCACUGCUGAUGUGACCUGGCCGUCAAGUCCGUACUAUCCCAGGCCAUCUGGAGGACUCCUCUGGCCACUGCUGUGCCUUCGCUCACUAACGCAGUGAACUCUUUGGCAUGAUCCCAUGAAAUGAUUAAAGGAAACCCACAGGUUGAAAUUAUAAUGUCCCAGCAGGGUCUGGUGAUUAGACACUCCGAACUGCAAGCUGGCCAUCAAAUAAACCUUUUGGCCAAACAA